GGUGGCUCCAGUGUGCAGCAAAGAUUGAAGACUGCUGUUCUCAGAAGUGCCUUAGAUGCACCACAGAUGCUGAAGAGCUCUUUCUGUGGUUCAUAAAGAAGGUCAAAUCCCAUUCGGUCAAUAACUGUGGCACAGCUGGAAGGAAGUACCAAGGGGUGAGAGCAGUCUAACAUGAAAAAUAAAUAAAAUUACAAAGAGUGGGGUCA